UUAGGAAUCAUUUUAUAAUGUAACUUUCUUUUAAUUAUAUUUUGGUGCUCAGUUUAAGUUAGAUGGGAAUUUUAGUAAAUCUGACAAGGGGAGUAUGAGACAACUUAUGAUGUAUUUUCUCUGCAGGGUGUUACUCACGUUGAUCUCUAUAGGUCUAUCUGGCACGGCCAUAUUAACUGGAUUUAAUAUGCUUUCAAAAGGUAUACUUUGAUUGCUUCAUUUCUGUUUCAGUACUGCCAUAACUUUACGUACUUCUAGCAGCAUCUUUAAACGUUGUUUCAUUUUGAUUUUCUCCGUUUUUUAGUUAUUCCAUUUUAAUGGAGGGAAGAUAAUAAGUUACUCCCUCCGUUCCUAAAUAAGUGUCGUUUAAGGUUUUUACACAUGGAUUAAGAAAGUCAUUUAAACAAGAAGUGCGACCCCCCUCUAAUUUUUUGUUUUCUUUAUUUGCAUUUUGGGGAAUAUUAUCAUUUAAUAGUUAAAAUAUGUGUAAAAUUUCAUCACUACCCCUUUAUGGGAAGUUGAAAACUAUUAAUACUAAGGGUGAGAAUUUCUUGAGACAAUGAGAUAAGGUAGGGGUAAUAAAGGAAAGUAAAUAAUUUAUUCUCCUAGAAAGUUGUAAACGACAAAUAAAUUGGAACAAAUUUUUUCUUCUAAAAUGUCACUUAUUUAGAAAUGGAGGGAGUAUAAUUUUUCCAUCUCAUUAAAAAGUUAUAUAUUUCUCUAUUUUAUACAUACAUUGUAGGUUUUGGAAAGAAAUUAUAUGCCAAUUGCUUGGAAUACAACAGUCUACUGUUAAGCAAAAUGAAGGAUUCUCAAAAAAAAGAAAAAAUCUUUCUUUCUAAAUAAGUUAUCAAACCUUCUCUAGAACGUGAUUACUUUGCAUAUGAUUUUAAUGAAAACUUAUGAUUUCUAAAAAUUCUCUGCAAAAAAAGUAAAAUAAAAGUAAUUGCAACAUUCUUAGGAAACAUGAAAAGUAACAUGUCCUUCCAUCUUGCUAAAUUUUUUUAAUGUGAUUUCCCAUUACAAGUAAGUAAUUCUAUAGCUUAAUUCAUAUUUGAUAGAGUACGAAGAUUAAGAAAUCCUGAAUGGGGAAUUUUAUGCCAUUAAUGUUCUUUUGGAACCCAAUCUUGUAGGUACUCUAGGGAAGUUAAUGUGAUUUCAACCCAAAUCACGCACAAGGUGAAAUCCAUCCAUGCCAAUGUUACUUCCAUAAAGAAUGCACGCCACUCCCAAACACCCCCCUAAGCUACUUCGUGAUAGAUUGGGAAGUGGAACUAAUGUCCCCUUAUAUAGUUGAUACAAGAUGAGGUAACCUUUAAUCUAUUUCCACUAUGAAAUUCCUAUUUUAGUCUCGUUUUGAGCAAGUGUAGCUGCUCAUAAAUCUCAGUUUUUAGUUAUUUGAUUUUGAUUGAUAAAACUUAUCCCAUGAGGUAUUCUUAAUCAGGAAACUAAAGAAAGUUAGUUCUAUAUUUUGCUCAUCAAUGUUCUUGCUCAAUUUCUCAUUUGGAAGAACUGUUUAUCAAUGGAAAGAGAAGUAUAACACGCUGCCAAGUUACGGUGUUCCUUUAGAAAUUGACGUUUCUAUAACACUACUAUAACCUUUGUGUCAGGUAAUGAAGUAAUUCAAGAUAUGGUCUCAAAUGAUGGUCUUAUUUUUUCUGGUAGAGAUAAAAUAGAUGUAUUGAAUAUUGUUAUAUUAUUACAAAGAGCACUAAAGCUUUAUAUAUUGGUUACUAGUUGAGUAGUGGUCAAGUAUAUGUGAGCACCAAGUAUGUGUGGGUAUCAAGCAUACUUGGUGACCAAGUAAUAAUAAUAAUAUACUCUAAUACCCCCUCAAGUUGGAAGUCUUAUAUCACGACUCACAACUUGUUACAUAACAAAAUAAAAGACUCAAAAUCAACUACGAAGGACUAUGCCUAAUAAUAAUAUACUCGAAUACUCCCCUUCAAGUUAGAAGUCUUAUAUCCCAACUUACAAUUAAUUACAUAACAUAAUCUUAAAAAUAAAAGUGUCAAACGAACUAGGAAAAUUGAACCCCUCUUCAAUUUGCAUAGAAAAAAGAUUAAUUUUUUUACAUCCAAAGUUAGAUGUCUCAUUAUAUAACUUCACACAUCCACUUUCCAAGGAUAUCAUAUAAUGGAAAUAACGGAGAAUACUCGUCUCCCAUAACAAAUGUGAAGGACUCUAUAUCCUUCAAAAACAACUACGAAGGACUCCUUUCCUUCCUCAACAAUGAAGGACUCUAGCCUCCCAAAAAAUCGAAGGACACACUCCUUCCUGAAAUCUCGGCCCCUAUGCAAUCCUUACUUUUCAAUCAACCAUCCAUUUACAUAUUCAAGGAGAAAAAUAACUACGAAGGACAAAUCAUUUUUGUUUCACCACAAAAACAAACAACGACCAUGGUUUUUUAUUUUGUUUUCUCUAAACGAAUAAAAGAAAGAAAAAAAGAUCCCUGCCGCCCGGCUAUGUGCUGUCGUCAACGGAAGCAAGACUUCUAGUUGGCCUUCCAAGAUCAAACUAGCUUUGAUAUCAUAUUAGAGAUAAAAUAGAUGUAUUGAAUAUUGUUGUUAUAUUAUUACAAAGAGUACUAAAGCCUUAUAUAUAGGCUACUAGUUGAGUAGUGGCCAAGAAUGUGUGGGUACCAAGCAUACUUAGUGACCAAGUAAUAAUAAUAAUAAUAAUAAUAAUUUACUCUAAUACUUGUCUAAUCCAUCAAACAAGUUGAUUAUAUCUUGGAGUCAAUUUUUCGGAAGGCUGGUUAAAAUGUUCUGGUGAGUGGAACAAGUAACUGACAGUUGAGAAAUUUUUGAUCACUCGUAUAGAAAAGCUUGACCAAGCUCUUUAAUAAAUUAUUGUAUACGAAGUGCAGUGAAUUAGAUCUAGUAUUUUACUUAACCAAGGGGAAGUUUAUGCAUUUAAUUGCAGCUAUUGAAAAGCCUAAUUAAUUUCUCAACCAAGAUAAUUCUAGCUUGUUUCGAGUUGGUCAGCUUUGAUGAUUCAUUUUUGAUGUAAUUCCUGCAAGGUAUGCCUCACGUAUGAUUUGAUACUUUGUGAUUAGCUUGUCUCGAGCUGGCCAGCUUUCUUUGAUUACUGGAACGUCUAAGAAGUUCUCCAUCCAUUUUGAUAACAGCGGGAAUUUCUCUUCCUCUAUCAAUUUAUUGCCGGCUACUUCCUCUAUGACACUAAUCAGAUUGGCCAUCCAACCAAAUACUAGAUCUAGGAACCCAAUUGUCUCUCCGCUGAAAAAAUUCUUUCCCUGAAGUAGUUCUUCUACAUAUUUCAGGUUUUCUGAGACCAGAACACUAGCUUCUUCUUGCUCCUUCUCCUGUGUAAGAAAAACCUGGCGUACUGAUGGAAAAAGCUAAUUUUGAAAAAGAAAGAGUAGUCAAAGUUAGAUCCAAUGGUGCUACAUGAGCUAAUAUAGUACAGAUGUUACUUGCUGGACUUGAGGGCAAGUUUGGAUAUCUUUCCUGAGUCCUGUUUCAAACUCUGUUCUUCAGUAAACUUUUUUUUUUGUGACUGUUUGUUGCAUUUUGAAACCCAUGAAUAUUUGUAUUUUGUCGAAACGGAAAAAAUUAGAAACAGGGGUCUUUGAAUUAGUGUCCUUAAAGACAGAAACAGAAAACCAUAUAAACCAAAUAUAUACUUGUUCUAAUCAAAAUUCAGUUUCAGGUGUAUUUAUCAGCACAUGUACAAGACCAGUUGGUUAUUGUACCUUUUCAUCAUUGAAGCUUGCCCAAAAACGUCCUCUGGCUUUCUCAUAUGGAUCUUCAGGGAAAAGGGGAUUUUCCUUCCAUGUAUCUUCGACGUACUCGAGGAUGACAAGUGAUUCAGAGAUCGGUUUCCCAUUGUGCACAAGCACCGGAACUUUCUUGUAAACAGGAUUAUACUGGAUGAGUGAAGGACUCUUGUUGGCAAUAUCUUCAAAUAUGGUAUCAAAUUCUAUGCUCUUAAGCUUCAGUGCCCAAACUAUCCUCAAGGCAAAUGGACUUGACCAUGUCCUGUAAAGCUUCACUUCUUCUGCCAUAUUGUUUUGAUUGCCAAACUAUGUAGCUAUGGUUAUUUAUAUACACAUUAUGUUCUUGUCUAUAGGUGCAUCUAUAUAAACAUAUACGUAUUUUCUGUAUAUCAUUUAUUCCAAGGACCACGUCAUGGAUUGC
rnacentral:lncRNA from 1 species